UGAUAAUUGAGUAACACUUUUAUUUUUUGAACAGGUCAAUACGUCAAAGCUGUCUUUCUACAUUUAUGCUUCGUACUUCCUAGAAAUUUCAUGAUCUUCCUAUGCAUGCAGAGGGAAGAAGCAGUAUGAACCACCUAGGUACAUGACAAUAAAGACUGCCAUUGAGCAGCUCCUGGAAGUUGUGCAAGCAAAAGUAGAAUCUGUCUGCAAUAAAGACACGGAGUGUGUUGGUUUUGCUAGAAUUGGAAGUGAAGAUCAGAUCAUUGUGGCUGGUACAAUGAAGCAACUUCAAUUACAUGUGUUUUUUUCCUAUCAAAUAGUAAUGUAGGAGUGUGCAACUACUCAAAUUUUGACGUGUUAUUAUGUAAAAAAUUAAA